GGCUCCGUAGCUCAGUUGGUUAGAGCACCAGGCUUUUAACCUGGGUGUCGUGGGUUCGAAUCCCAUCGGAGCCA
rnacentral:tRNA from 1 species